GACGAACGCUGGCGGCGUGCCUAAUACAUGCAAGUAGAACGCACAGUUUAUACCGUAGCUUGCUACACCAUAGACUGUGAGUUGCGAACGGGUGAGUAACGCGUAGGUAACCUGCCUGGUAGCGGGGGAUAACUAUUGGAAACGAUAGCUAAUACCGCAUAAUAUUAAUUAUUGCAUGAUAAUUAAUUGAAAGGUGCAAUUGCACCACUACCAGAUGGACCUGCGUUGUAUUAGCUAGUAGGUGAGGUAACGGCUCACCUAGGCGACGAUACAUAGCCGACCGGAGAGGGUGAUCGGCCACACUGGGACUGAGACACGGCCCAGACUCCUACGGGAGGGAGCAGUAGGGAAUCUUCGGCAAUGGACGAAAGUCUGACCGAGCAACGCCGCGUGAGUGAAGAAGGUUGUCGGAUCGUAAAGCUCUGUUGUAAGAGAAGAACGGGUGUGAGAGUGGAAAGUUCACACUGUGACGGUAGCUUACCAGAAAGGGACGGCUAACUACGUG
rnacentral:rRNA from 1 species